rnacentral:lncRNA from 1 species
GAUUAAGCUAGCAAUUAUUUAAAAUGAUAUGACACCUAAUAUUCUUUUGGUUCUUUUUCUUGGUCUUUGGUGUUGAAUUUAAUCUUAUUGAAGAGGAUGAUUUCAGGAUACAUAUCACCUCAUGACUGGGCACCAUUUGUUGAAACUGUCCAGUCAGCAAAUUCGUACCAGCCAUCAAGCGAGUGAACGUGUUGGAGACUUGUAACACAAAUACAAAGAUUGGUAUGGAUGCGUGUGGGGAAACACCAGAAGGAAGAGCA